rnacentral:rRNA from 1 species
GAUGAACGCUGGCGGCGUGCCUAAUACAUGCAAGUCGAGCGAACAGAUAAGGAGCUUGCUCCUUUGACGUUAGCGGCGGACGGGUGAGUAACACGUGGGUAACCUACCUAUAAGACUGGGAUAACUUCGGGAAACCGGAGCUAAUACCGGAUAAUAUUUCGAACCGCAUGGUUCGAUAGUGAAAGAUGGUUUUGCUAUCACUUAUAGAUGGACCCGCGCCGUAUUAGCUAGUUGGUAAGGUAACGGCUUACCAAGGCGACGAUACGUAGCCGACCUGAGAGGGUGAUCGGCCACACUGGAACUGAGACAAGGUCCAGACUCCUACGGGAGGCAGCAGUAGGGAAUCUUCCGCAAUGGGCGAAAGCCUGACGGAGCAACGCCGCGUGAGUGAUGAAGGUCUUCGGAUCGUAAAACUCUGUUAUUAGGGAAGAACAUACGUGUAAGUAACUGUGCACGUCUUGACGGUACCUAAUCAGAAAGCCACGGCUAACUACGUG